rnacentral:rRNA from 1 species
UACGAAGGGGGCUAGCGUUGUUCGGAAUUACUGGGCGUAAAGCGCACGUAGGCGGACUAUUAAGUCAGGGGUGAAAUCCCGGGGCUCAACCCCGGAACUGCCUUUGAUACUGGUAGUCUCGAGUCCGGAAGAGGUGAGUGGAAUUCCGAGUGUAGAGGUGAAAUUCGUAGAUAUUCGGAGGAACACCAGUGGCGAAGGCGGUUGCCUGGGGCUUUGCUGACGCUGAUGCGCGAAAGCGUGGGGAGCAAACAGG